UGGGGAAUUUUGGACAAUGGGCGAAAGCCUGAUCCAGCAAUGCCGCGUGUGUGAAGAAGGCCUUCGGGUUGUAAAGCACUUUUGUCCGGAAAGAAAUCCUUGGCUCUAAUACAGUCGGGGGAUGACGGUACCGGAAGAAUAAGCACCGGCUAACUACGUGCCAGCAGCCGCGGUAAUACGUAGGGUGCAAGCGUUAAUCGGAAUUACUGGGCGUAAAGCGUGCGCAGGCGGUUUGCUAAGACCGAUGUGAAAUCCCGGGCUCAACCUGGGAACUGCAUUGGUGACUGGCAGGCUAGAGUAUGGCAGAGGGGGGUAGAAUUCCACGUGUAGCAGUGAAAUGCGUAGAGAUGUGGAGGAAUACCGAUGGCGAAGGCAGCCCCCUGGGCCAAUACUGACGCUCAUGCACGAAAGCGUGGGGAGCAAACAGGAUUAGAUACCCUGGUAGUCCACGCCCUAAACGAUGUCAACUAGUUGUGGGGAUUCAUUUCCUAGUAACGUAGCUAACGCGUGAAGUUGACCGCCUGGGGAGUACGGUCGCAAGAUUAAAACUCAAAUGAAUUGACGGGGUCAUAGCUG
rnacentral:rRNA from 1 species